CAGAGAGUAUGUUAUUCACAUCUAUUACUUCCGUACCUUCGAACAUGCUUAUCUACCUAUUGACUUAUUUUCCAAUUUUGGCAGAAUGUUCAGACAAGAGUUGGAGCAAGGAGGGGUGCCAGACAUUCAAAAAAUGAUGGCUACAGGGUUUGCAUCAUGGUUCAGAUGCUAUAUACUGAAGAUUAAGAAUGGCAAUCUGGUAGAGGAUGAUCUCUUCGCGUUGGCAUGUGGUCCUGAUCACAGAAUCACGAAAUACUCAGCAUGUAUAGUGAAUGGGGUUCGAUUUUGCACGUCUGUAAGGGGUGCGAAUAAGAAGCGAGAGAACGGUGGAAUCAUGAUAGCAAGCACAUAUGGCGAAGAUGAAGACCUGAUUGCUUGCCAUGGAAUCCUGAAAGAGAUUAUCAUGUUACAGUACCAUGGUGACAGGUCUGUGGUUUUGUUUAGAUGUGCCUGGCUUACACCGGAGGAGAAAACUGCUCUCAAAAAUAACAGAUCUUCGAAAAACACACCUGCAAGAAGUCGAUGGACCAAGGAUGAUACUUUAGUUCUAGCUAUGCAUGCUAAAACGGUGUUCCCUUUUUCCGGCACUACCAAUGGUGAGUACUACAAUGGCAAUUGUAGUUAUGGCGAAAUGAAUGUAGAUAGUGAUCAGGAAUAGAUUCCCACCAAGAAAUUAUCAUCGUGUUGUAAUCGCAUAACUUGCAUUCUGGCCAUGUCUCAAACUUAUGAUAGCUGCAUCAAUGUUGAAUGAGUGUAUUAUUUGUUUGUUUAAUUACGCGAAGCUGAAAAUGUUUUAGUAACUGUACUGCAACACUUUGUAAAAAAAGUUGUACUUGCAACUACAUACAUCCACCUCAAUUUCCAAA